UACGGAGGGUGCGAGCGUUAUCCGGAAUCACUGGGCGUAAAGGGCGCGUAGGCGGUUUGCUAAGUCCGAUGUUAAAGACCGGGGCUCAACCCCGACACGGCGUUGGAUACUGGCGAGCUUGACGACUGGAGAGGAAGGUAGAAUUACCAGUGUAGCGGUGGAAUGCGUAGAUACUGGUAGGAAUACCCAUAGCGAAGGCAGCCUUCUGGACAGUUAGUGACGCUGAGGCGCGAAAGUGUGGGGAGCAAACCGG
rnacentral:misc_RNA from 1 species